GAAGAGAGGAUCAAGGAGAUGUUCUACCCCCAUCUCUUGCAGAUUUUCUUGGGGAAACCCUAGGUAAGGAUAGGAUCCUUGUUCCUCCCUAUAAUUAUAUGCUUUUGGAGGUUGUGAAUCAUGUGGAUUGAAGGAUUAGAGGUUGGAUUAGAUGUGGGGUUAGGUUUUGAUCUCGAAUUUAAUUUCUGCAGAAUGGCAGAUUCGACAGUUUCUGUUCAUGUCAGUUUUUCGUGGUCUUAGUGGCCUCAAAAAAAUAAAAAAGUCUAUAUAUGAGUCGUAGAUAAUUUGUAGAUCUUUCCGUGGCCGUGAAGAACACCUCAAUCGGACAUCAGAACAGAAAGUUAUGACAGUUUGAUUAUAGCAGUUUUUCAGUCUCAUAAUUCUGUGCAGAAUCUGUUCUCUUAAGAGUUAGGCAAUUUUAUCAACAGAAUUAAACUGUGGGUUGGUAAAAGAAGUUGUAGAUAAUUUCAUAAGCUUUCCAGAUUGUUAAAGAGUGCAUUCAUAUGAUUUGUGAAACUCCAGUUAUGUUUGUUUUACUGUGGCUGUUCCUGUUUGCCUGACAAAAAUGAGUGGGUCUGUUCACUGGUGGGUUUCAUCUAGUAAAUGGCCAAAUUGGCUCUUCCAACUAUGGAGACUUUUGUAGAGGGAUAAAAGUUCUUACUUCCAACAGAAUUUCAUAAUUUUUGGUUCAGUAGUUUGGGAGAUAUCGAAUUUUAAAGUUAACCAUACUGCUGUCUAAAACAGAUUCAGUCAGUUAUCUUGUCAGAUGUUUUAGAACUUGUAGAUGGCAGAAUUUAAUUAUCCAUUGAAUACUGAAGUUGUAGAGUAUUUUGUGUAGAUACUCCUAGAGUAUUUGUUUGAUAUCACCGCUGUUUUAAUUUUAAAGAUACAAAAUUAACAAACAGCGCUGCUGCUGUAUGGCAUGUGGUUCAGGGUGGGAGUCUUUCCACUGGGUCUUGGUUUCAAGUGUAGGAGUGUUUUGUUGAUUGAUGGCAAAUGUUUGUGAAAUAUUUGUACUAAGUUUUAUGCCCGCUAGCAGGUGGCUAUACUCCAGAUCAUGUCUAGUACAUUUCUUCUUCUUCGAUGAAGGCAAGUGAAUGUAGCGGUGGUUGCUUCCGUUCUAACCUGUUAUUUCUAUUGCCUACACUCUAAUAUUCAGAAGUAUUGGAUUCUUUCAUAAUUGGACUCUAUGGUGAUGCUUUACUUGCUUGCAUUAUACUGAUGCUCAAUCAUAUAUUGAUGAUGAUUAUGAUUCGAGUAUGAUUCAUGAGAUUAAUUCACACCCCUGAAGGUAAAUGAAGUAUUAUUUGAGGUUGGUAUUGUAUCUGAAGGUAAAUGAAGUAUUAUUUGAGGUUGGUAUUGUAUCUGAAGGUAAAUAAAGUAUUAUUUGAGGUUUGUAUUGUAUCUGAAGGAAGUGAGGGUUAUUGAUAAAUGCAGCAUGCCAUAUACAUUGCAUGACUCAUUUGCAUCUGAAGUUUUGUCGUGACCUAUGGUCCGACCGUGCCGGUACAAUUUAGCAUCGUACGUUGCCCGAGGAGGGGUACGAUGCGACUUCAUACCCUUAGAGGUAUGAAGGCAGAGGACAUAUGCAUUGCAUUCAUAUGCAUUCAUUGAAGUGAUAUUUGCAGAUGAUGUGGUUUUAUACUCUCAGAGGUAUGAAGAUAGAGUACCUACACAUUGCAUUCCUAUGCAUACAUUGAAGUGAUAUUUGCAGGUAUUAUUGACGCACGGAAGUGUUAUAGAACCUAUUGUGGUUGUUCGAGGAAAUGAGAUGGUAUUGGUUAUAGUGGGACUACUGAGUUCCAUAUCUACAAGUAUUUCUGAUUUUAAUUGUGACUCUUUUAAAAUGUUGAUGAAUUCAAUUUGUGGUUUAAAGAUCUCGUCAAAAUUAUUCGCUUGCUGAGAUGUUUCAUCUCACUCUUGCAUUACUCAAUGCAGGUGCUUGUUGCUCAUCAAGGGAAGUGGGAAGUAGCAGCACAUCCACCUUCACUCUUAUAAUAACACUGCUUAGGCGCAGUCAUGAUUUAAUUAGAAGCUUCUUGUCAAAGGACGUUUGUUUCUAACUAGUUGUGCGCACUGGAUAAUUUAGCUCAUGCCGUUAUGGUUGUCUACCCAUUGCUAGCAGACUAUUAAUGUCUAUUAUGUUUUCUUAUCAUGAUAUCUAUUUAUACUUUGUUGCUUCCCCGUUUAUGCCAUUUUCAAAGGAG
rnacentral:lncRNA from 1 species